rnacentral:rRNA from 1 species
AGGACGAACGCUGGCGGCGUGCUUAACACAUGCAAGUCGAACGAUGAAGGAGGAGCUUGCUCCUCCGGAUUAGUGGCGAACGGGUGAGUAAUACGUGAGCAAUGUGCCCUUGACUCUGGGAUAAGCGCUGGAAACGGCGUCUAAUACCGGAUACGACCCUCGGAGGCAUCUCCUGCGGGUGGAAAGAACUUCGGUCGAGGAUCAGCUCACGGCCUAUCAGCUAGUUGGUGAGGUAACGGCUCACCAAGGCGACGACGGGUAGCCGGCCUGAGAGGGUGACCGGCCACACUGGGACUGAGACACGGCCCAGACUCCUACGGGAGCAGCAGUGGGGAAUAUGCACAAUGGGCGAAAGCCUGAUGCAGCAACGCGCGUGAGGGACGACGGCCUUCGGUGUAACCUCUUUAGCAGGAAGAAGCGAAGUGACGUACCUGCAGAAAAGCACGCUAACACGUGCCAGCAGCCGC